AUAUUAUGAAGUCCAGUCGCCU
rnacentral:siRNA from 1 species